rnacentral:ncRNA from 2 species
CAGGCCGAGAGGCGCUGCAACGGACCCAGGUCCGCCACGCUCGGCCCCCGUGAACCGCAACAAGGGCGCCUCCCGACA